rnacentral:rRNA from 1 species
AACGUAGGAAGCAAGCGUUAUCCGGAUUUACUGGGCGUAAAGGGCAGGCAGGCGGUUGGUUAAGUCCUACUUGAAAGCUCCCGGCUCAACUGGGAGAGGCGGUGGGAAACUAGCCGACUAGAGGAUGGUAGAGGAGAGUGGAAUUCCCGGUGUAGCGGUGAAAUGCGUAGAUAUCGGAGGAAGACACCGGUGGCGAAAGCGGGCU